AUUGAACGCUGGCGGCCGGCCUAACACAUGCAAGUCGAACGAGUGGCGGACGGGUGAGUAAUGUCUGGGAAACUGCCUGCUGGAGGGGGAUAACUCCUGGAACCGGUAGCUAAUCCCGCAUACCCUCGGAUGUGCCCAGAUGUCUUUAGCUUGUUGGGGGGGUAUAGGGUCACAACGGCGACGAUCCCUAGCGGGUCUGAGAGGAUGACCAGCCACACGGUAACUGAGACACGGUCCAGACUCCUACGGGAGGCAGCAGUGGGGAAUAUUGCACAAUGGGCGAAAGCCUGAUGAAGCCAUGCCGCGUGUAUGAAGAAGGCCUUCGGGUUGUAAAGUACUUUCAGCGGGGAGGCGUUACCCGCAGAAGAAGCACCGGCUAACUCCGUGCCAGCAGCCGCGGUAAUAC
rnacentral:rRNA from 1 species